GAUGAACGCUAGCGGCAGGCUUAAUACAUGCAAGUCGAGGGGCAGCAGGGAUAGCAAUAUUCGCUGGCGACCGGCGCACGGGUGCGUAACACGUAUACAAUCUGCCUUUUACAGGGGGGAUAGCCUUUCGAAAGAGAGAUUAAUACCCCAUAAUAGUUGACCGGGCAUCUGGUUGAUUUGAAAGCUCCGGCGGUAAGAGAUGAGUAUGCGCCUGAUUAGCUAGUAGGUGAGGUAACGGCUCACCUAGGCUACGAUCAGUAGGGGAUCUGAGAGGACUAACCCCCACACGGAUACUGAGACACGGAUCCGACUCCUACGGGAGGCAGCAGUAAGGAAUAUUGGACAAUGGGCGCAAGCCUGAUCCAGCCAUGCCGCGUGUGUGAUGAACGGCCUUAGGGUUGUAAAGCACUUUCACCGAUGAAGAUAAUGACGGUAGUCGGAGAAGAAGCCCCGGCUAACUUCGUGCCAGCAGCCG
rnacentral:rRNA from 1 species